AUGGCACUGAAAGGUUUUAAGGGUUUUUUUAAAGGAAACCCUUGGAGUGGUACUGUGCUCUUUAACCUUGUUCUUGUUGUUCUAGAAAAACUUGUGGAGAAUGACUUUGUGUGUCCCUGUAGACCAGGAUACACACAGGCUUUUUUUGCUUUAUACCUCAUUAUGCCAAUGACAAUUGCUUUUGUGUUUGGAGUUUACCUUUUUCAGUUCCAAUACAGUAAGGCUACUGAAACGCAGUGCUGUCGUGAUAUUAAAUGGAAAAUACUGUGUUUAUUGAGUCCACCUAUUGUGUGGAUUAUCCUGUUCAUCAGUGAUGGAAGAUACUUAUCUUGUUUGUUAGCGGAUUUGCAUGAAAAGAAUCCUGACAGCACAUUGGUGCCUCUCUGGCAAUGGUGCAGCGAAGGCAAAAACCUGACUCAGGCCCAGCAAGAAGCACGGAAAGCAUUUUACAUAACGAAGUUGGCAGGAUUCGGGUGUUUGCUUGCUAUCUUCCUCAUAAUACUGAUUGUGAUGAUUUACACAUGCCUUAAACCAAAGACUCCAAAUGAACAGGUGACACACAGUGGUGUUGGUGAAGGAGAUACAGGAGUGGCUGGGGGAAGUAGAGCAGGAGAGGCUAAAGGAGAUGGAGGAGCAGAGGCUGGAGGAUCACAGAUCCGCUGUUGCUCAGUCUAUGGCAAAACCUGUGGCGCGUCUCACUGCAAAGAUUGCUGCUCAAAGCACAGAAAAGCCUGCUGCCUAGAACACAGAGACCUUCCCUGUUUAGCUCAUUCAGACACAAAUGCAACCCAAAAAACUGACCACAGUGAUUCUACUGUUUCCCAUCUUGAAUCACAAAGUCAACCCACUUCUGAAAGUCUUUGUGUCAGAAUCAAAGGCUGCCCCUGUCUCUGUCACCAAACUUGUGACAAGAGCUGGCUAAAAUCCUUAAUAACACUAUUCCCGUUUUUUUUUUUUUUUUUUUUUUUUUUUUUUUAUUACAUCUACUUCACGCCAAGCUGAUUCCACUUCUGGAAAGAUUGUAGCUGUCACAUGCUUUGCAUCUUCACUUUCCUCUUCUGUCACUGAUUCAUAUUCUUUCAUUUGUAUUGUCCUCUCUAUUUGUAUGAAGGUCCAGAUCAGUUGAUGAGUUUAUUCACUCUUGUUGUUUGUUUUUUUUGUUUUUUACUGUUUUUCACUUUGGCUCACACUUAAGACUUAAACGAACCUUAAUCAGUUAUAAAUAAAACUUUAUGUACUUGAUUUAACCUACUCCA
rnacentral:lncRNA from 1 species